AAUUUGUCAAUAGCUAAUAAGGGUUAUAUCAGGCGCGUUUAUAAUCUGCAUGUUGUUAUUGGAAAUAUAUUUCUACAGAAAUUUUGUUAUUGCAGUGCUCACCACCUCGAAGUAGGGACCUUAUUACCCUGUUCCUGUUUCGUUUCCUAUCCCUUCCAUAUCUAUUUGUUAAACUACCGUCGGUUUUUCCCGCUUUGGUUUAUUCCUGUCAUUCAAUGUGGUAACUGUAAGCAAGAGAAAGCAGCGAAGACUACUGCCUACACGAGAUCAUACAUGCUGAUGGGAGAUGCAUGUUUCGUUGAAAGGAUGUCCCUUAAAAAUGGAGAUCGCCAUGGUUUGGUUUUUUAACAAAAGGAAACAGACGACCUAGAUAUCCUCCCAGCGCCAAUGCAAUAAAGAAUGAAUAUCUACGCUACUUCAGUAAUAUAGUAUCCAACUCCUUCACCUAUGUAGGAUCUCUCAGGGAUUGCUUCUAUUUCCACCCUUGUGGAAUAUCAAGUAUGAUGGAAUUUUACGCCUGG